rnacentral:rRNA from 1 species
UACGUAGGGGGCUAGCGUUGUCCGGAAUCAUUGGGCGUAAAGCGCGUGUAGGCGGUCCGGUAAGUCCGCUGUGAAAGUCGGGGGCUCAACCCUCGAAAGCCGGUGGAAACUGUCGGGCUAGAGUACGGAAGAGGCGAGUGGAAUUCCUGGUGUAGCGGUGAAAUGCGCAGAUAUUGGGAAGAACACCUGAGGCGAAGGCGGGUUGCUGGGCCGACACUGACGCUGAGGCGCGAAAGCCAGGGGAGCAAACGGG